rnacentral:rRNA from 1 species
AUUGAACGCUGGCGGCAUGCCUUACACAUGCAAGUCGAACGGCAGCACGGGUGCUUGCACCUGGUGGCGAGUGGCGAACGGGUGAGUAAUACAUCGGAACAUGUCCUGUAGUGGGGGAUAGCCCGGCGAAAGCCGGAUUAAUACCGCAUACGAUCUACGGAUGAAAGCGGGGGUCCUUCGGGCCUCGCGCUAUAGGGUUGGCCGAUGGCUGAUUAGCUAGUUGGCGGGGUAAAGGCCUACCAAGGCGACGAUCAGUAGCUGGUCUGAGAGGACGACCAGCCACACUGGGACUGAGACACGGCCCAGACUCCUACGGGAGGCAGCAGUGGGGAAUUUUGGACAAUGGGCGAAAGCCUGAUCCAGCAAUGCCGCGUGUGUGAAGAAGGCCUUCGGGUUGUAAAGCACUUUUGUCCGGAAAGAAAUCCUUGGCCCUAAUACGGUCGGGGGAUGACGGUACCGGAAGAAUAAGCACCGGCUAACUACGUG